CCUAUGAGUCUGGGGACCCAGAGAGUGGGGCCUGCUCCACCUGAACCAGGUGUAGACACCCACCUGGGAGGAAGACAAUUUUGCCAGCGUGUCUUACAGCCUGAGACACUGUGGGGCAGGGACCCAGGAUUGAGACCAGACAGAAGUCUGCCCACUGCAGGCAGGCAGGGCCAGUGUGCUCUCUUUCAGAGCACAUGGAGGGAGGAGCUGGACAGUGAGUGUGUCCUUCGAUGUGCUUUGACCAAGCAUAGCCCAAAGGAUAUUUGGAAAGAGAUUUGUCCUGGCCUGUGAUGACUGUCUUGACUGGAAUCUAGUAGAUGGGAACAAGGGGUGCCAGAUGUCCUGCAAAUGCAGGAUGACACCAAAUGGCAAACAACAGCUCCUCCUGAAUCCUGGAGGACUCAGUGAAUCCAGAAUCAGGUUCUGGUAAGUUUUCUAUUCCUCCCAACACAAGCCCUGAAGGGAGCUCCACUUACAGAUCAAUGUCUUCCUUUUUCCUCCCUCUCUUUCUUCCUUCUUUCCUCCUUUCUUUCUG
rnacentral:lncRNA from 1 species